GACGAACGCUGGCGGCGUGCUUAACACAUGCAAGUCGAACGGAAAGGCCCUGCUUGCAGGGUACUCGAGUGGCGAACGGGUGAGUAACACGUGGGUGAUCUGCCCUGCACUUCGGGAUAAGCCUGGGAAACUGGGUCUAAUACCGGAUAGGAGCCAUUUUUAGUGUGAUGGUUGGAAAGUUUUUUCGGUGUAGGAUGAGCUCGCGGCCUAUCAGCUUGUUGGUGGGGUAAUGGCCUACCAAGGCGGCGACGGGUAGCCGGCCUGAGAGGGUGGACGGCCACAUUGGGACUGAGAUACGGCCCAGACUCCUACGGGAGGCAGCAGUGGGGAAUAUUGCACAAUGGGCGCAAGCCUGAUGCAGCGACGCCGCGUGGGGGAUGACGGCCUUCGGGUUGUAAACUCCUUUCGCUAGGGACGAAGCUUUUUGUGACGGUUCCUAGAUAAGAAGCACCGGCUAACUACGUG
rnacentral:rRNA from 1 species